CCUCCCCUUGUCGUUACUUCUACAAACUGUGUCCUCAUCUGCUGUAUCUCGUGUGUUGCAGAGAAUAAACAGAGCAUGGACAGCUUGGAGCAAGCACUAGGGAAGCGCGUUACUACUCACACUCGGGACCACAUUUUCCCAGAGCCUGUUUCUCGUGCUGUCUGUCCCCAGAUGAGGGAGACAGUGCCAUGUGUUAGGUAGGACAGCUUACUCUCUGGGGCCCGGUUUUCUUUUCUGUGAAAUGGGGAUGAAAACGAUACCACCUACUUCAUAGAGUUGCUUCAAGGAAGGAUUACGUGUACGUAGCAUUUUGUGUCCUGGCAUACAGUUAGUUGUUGGGAGCUGCUGCCUGUAUUGGGCAUAUAUCACAUACCAUAUAAUGCAGUUGCAAGCUUCAGAUAUACAGUUGACAUUUGAACAACACGGGUUUGAACUGCACGGGCCCACUUAUGCUCAGAUUUUUUUCAAUGGUAAAUACUACAGCACUACACCAUCCCAGGUAGGUUGAAUCCUCGGAUAUGGAGGGCAGACUAUAAGUUAUAUGUGGAUUUUUGACUGCAAAGAGGUUUGGGCCCCUAACCCCCGCAUUGCUUAAGGGCUAACCGUAUGUAUAAAAUAGAUGCUCAUUUGGGACUGCAAACACAUGCACACACGUCGCUCUCUAUCAGGGCCACAGUCCUCACCCCACACUGCCACCCACGUGGCCGAGAAACCUGCAUCAGAGUCAGGUUUCUCUGAGACUUGGCUGAGGCCCAGGCCCUGGCUCAGAUGUCAGGGCCCCACGUUACUGAGCCCAGGAGCCUUUGUCUCCUCCUUGCGCCUGUCCGCAGCUCCUCAUCUUCCUCCUCUCUCCGGGAGCAGCUGGGGGAGGGGAGGGGGGUGGACGUCCUCCCUGGCCCCCUGCCCCAUGGAGCAGGCAGCCACACCUGGGGGCCUAGGGCUCCCCUGUAGCCCCAAGCAGGCCUUGGCCCUGUACCAGCACCUCUUCCGGUGCCCUGCAGGCCUGGGCCAGCUCUGGGCUGCCCUGCAGCAGGUGAGGGUGACAGGGCACCAUCUACGAGGGGGCAGGCUCUCCGUGGGGUCUGACUCCACCUUGCCUCCCCAUGUGGGAGACGGCCGGACCUGUCCCUCAGGCCUCGAACUGCCCACCGUGCUGCUGCAGAUGGAGCGGAGCCGGCGGGCCCAGGAGCAGCUCCUGUGGGAUUUGGAGCUGCUGACCGGGGCGGGGCUGGGCCUCUCCUGGCCCCCCUGGGCCCAGUUCUGCGGUCUGAGGGACUGGUCCCAGUGUGCGUGGAGCCAGUGCAGCAAGCCCUGUGGUAGGACGGAUGGGGGCUCUGAGCGGCGGACGAGUGGGAAUUCCAGGCUGUGCCCAUCGCCCCAGGCUGAGGACUCCCUGAGCCAGGACCGUCAGCUUCUGGAGGGGGGGCUGGCAAAGGACCCGUCAUCAGCCCUGGAUCUGACUGAAGCCAGCUUUGAUGCAGACCCAAGGUGGGAGAGCCCUGGCAUGCCUGCAGAAGGGCCCACAUCUGGUUGCUCACAAGAGCUGAACCUCACCACCAGCAGUAGCUCUGGAGAACCAGGAAGCUCAGAGUUCAAGGAGCUGGCCCAGAGGGAAGACGGGGAGCUAGCAGGGCCCACGCCCCAGGGGCCCCAUCAACCACCAUCCAGAAGCCUACAGGAGAAGAAGCUGGCUCAGGGAGCCCCAGGGCCCUCAGGCCUCCCCUCCCAGGGCCUGCCAGAACCCCCGGAUCCCCUGGAGGGGCUGGGCUGCAGCCUGGGCCAGGAGAGAGCAGAACUAAAGAAACUGCUAAGAAUUGAGAUUCCUCAGAGUCAGAGAGAGGGGGCCCCUCAGGAUCAGAGAGGGAAGGCCCUCCAGGGGGAGGACAAAGAAGUUCCCCCAAGUAAGAGAGAGAAGACAAACGAGGGUCAGAGCGGGGAGGCCCCUCAGGCUCUGAGGGAAGAGGUCUCGGAAGGUCAAAGGUGGGAGGCCUCCCAGGGUGAGAACGAAGAGGCACCUCGAAGUCAAAGCGGAAGUCGCCUUAAGCGCCGGAAAAAGGAGGCCCUCCCGGAGCAGAGCGAGGAUUCUCCUCAGGGCCCGGAAGUGAAGACGCUUCAGUCUUCCGAGGGCAGAGGCCGUAUCUCACAAGCCUGGGAGGUGGCUCGGGGAGAGGCACCUACACCGCCCCGGGAGGAAGGCGGCUCCCUGGGGAUUCCGGGGGGCUUCUGCAGGCCCCUGGGAGAACGGAUGCCGCAGCCUGGGGGAAGGGAGGGCCCGGACCCGCGGGGAAGAACCACGCAACUGAGGCAGGUUAAGACCGGUGGCCCGAGAGGAGAGAGCGCAGCGGCCGUGAGAGAGCAGGGGCCCGCCCGGGAAGGGGCGCCGGCUCCCCUUACGCCCCCGGGGCCUCCGGCCCGGCCGCCGCUCCCACGCCCAGGAGCGGUGUUGCUGGCGGCCCUACGCACUGGUGGUUCCGAGCAGCGGGAGCGCCCCGCAGCUCUCCCAGGGCAUCCGGGCCUGCUGAGCGAUCCGCACUCGCUUCGGGGCCCGGGAGGAAGCCCUGGCCCCGCGGAGCAGGAGCUGGGCGGCUCCAUGGGGCUCCCGGGCGCCCUCGGGGGGCGGAGGGAAGGUGCCGAGGCCCCCAGAGCCUCGAAGACCGCGUGGCCCGAGUCCCCGAGCAGGGACAGGCGGUCUGCGGGCGUGAGCGCGGCGCAGCAGGAGACGGCUCUGCAGCGGCUGCCGGAGCUGCACAGUGAGGCCAGGCGUCGGCGGCAACAGGACCGCGAGCAGCAGCGGCUCCGGGUCUUGGAACGCCUCCGCAUCGCCAGGAACCGCCACUGCCGCGUGCACCCCUUGAGACCCCCACCGAGCCCGGCUCAGCUCCCACGACAGGCAAGACCCCUAGGAGAAGGCGGUGGGGCCGCCAAAACCCUGCCUGGGCGGGGGACGGGGCGCGACCUGGGUCCCUUUGACUUGCGCGCACCGCGCACUUGCGAUGACACCUGCGGAGCGGGAGGGGCCGGCCUGCCUGGCUGCUGCCCUCUGCUGGCCGCAUCGAGCCCCGGGGCUGGGAAGCGCGGGCGCUCAGCGCUCGGCGCCGCCCCAGGAGGACGCGGCCGGGCAGCGGAGCGCCCUGCGGGAGCAGCUGAAGCAAACGCAACGGGAGAGGACCGGGCGGCUGCGAGCCCUCGGGGCCAGGAACACCCAGAACUUCCAGCAACUUCUGUGGCCCCCUGGCUCUGAGGAGCCUGCGCCUGGAGAGCAUCGCUCACUCUUCCCAGCCCUCUCUGGUCACUGCUGAAUCCUCAAAGGGACGAUUAAAGAGACGGGGAUUUAAGGAAAAAGCAAGAGGGCAACCUCCCACUGCCUGGCCCAAGGUCAGAGGGCCAGGUCCCGGGGGUCAAGCAGUGCGAAGGCCCCAUUCUUGCGGAAGAAAGAUUCAAUGCGGCACAUCUUGCAGGA